UACGUAGGGGGCAAGCGUUGUCCGGAUUCAUUGGGCGUAAAGAGCGUGUAGGCGGCCAGGUAGGUCGGUUGUGAAAACUGGAGGCUCAACCUUCAGAGGUCGACCGAAACCAUCUGGCUAGAGUCCGGGAGAGGAGAGUGGAAUUCCUGGUGUAGCGGUGAAAUUCGUAGAUAUUGGGAAGAACACCGGUGGCGAAGGCGGCGCUCUGGACCGAGACUGACGCUGAGGCGCGAAGGCGUGGGGAGCAAACAGG
rnacentral:rRNA from 1 species